ensembl:lncRNA
CGUCAACUAGAAUUGGCCUGUUUGUCCUUUCCUGCUCUCUCUGGACAUGGCAUUUUCACAAUAAUAAUGUAGUAGCUAACAUCUAUUGGUCGUAAAGAGUCGGACACAACUGAGCAACUGAACUGAACUAAACUGAACAUCUAUUGAGCACCUACUGUAUGCAUGACAUUGUCUGAUGAAACGAACUUGUGCGGCUCUGACAGCUGGGUGUAGGUGUGGGAUGAGCAGAAGGGCUCAAGGAACACGAUUGGAGGAGAUGACAUGCUGAUGAGAAGAAAAAGAAGCCUCACAGUCAAAUGAUGUGAUUCCAAUUACAAGGAUCCACUUAAGCCAGCUUUUGAUGUCCUGCCUGCUCCCAGGCUACCGGUUCAGGAAAUGCUGUGUGGUCUAUUCCCAUGAGGCACAUUCUGAGAUGGUCUUCUCAUCGG